rnacentral:tRNA from 2 species
GGGCGUGUAGCUCAGUUGGGAGAGCGCCUCGUUCGCAACGAGGAGGCCGCCGGUUCGAGCCCGGCCACGUCCACCA